AAGUGUACAAAAAGCAGCUUGUCUGCAAAUGAUGUACGAUCAGGAACUCAAGCCGAACCUGAGCUCUUUGAUGUUAUUGCCAGUAGAUCCCGAGCGGAUGACGUCCCUAAUACGGGGACUUCCUGAUUCCCUGAAACCUAUUGGGAUCCAAUUGCAGGGGAGAAUUCAAGAUGUGCCCCGCGAGGAGAGAAUCGUGGCUGCCCUGGAAGGGAUGGUAACCCCCGAGCAUCGGUGGCUGCGGAAAAAGGUGGUGGUCUGACCAAGAUGCAUCUACUGCUCUGGACCACCCAGAUUCAAGGAUGCAUCCAUGAGGGCGACGAACGACCACUCUCUCUACCUUCCCUCAACCCAUUUAAUCCCUUCGAGAACAACGAGUUCAUGUUGCUGGCGAAAGCAGUAAGCCAAACUUUCAAUUUAAGCCACUGCUGGGUUUGCGGAGGACCGCUAGGAUUAUCAAGUUGGCCGUGGACGUCCACACCCCUCACCCCAGACCAGAUCGUAAGCAAUUACAGCGAAACCGCGGACGACACGUGGGACGACAGUGGGACCUGGCCAAUUCAGUUUCCAGCCAUGGGGCAAUAUUGUUUAAAUCGUACCCAGGAGGGAGGGAUCGAAGUGGGGUAAAGUAAAUGUCGAUGGACACUCGCUCGUAAGCCACUCGAUAAAGACGGGAAUCUCCACUCAUGGACGUGGCUCGAUGAAACGGGGCACAAUCGGGGAUUUGAGGGAUACUGGUCAAACAAAAAUGAAACUUUAACUCUCCAACGAUCCAAUUAUCCCCCUUACAAGCAAACCUGCAAAUGGGAAGGCACUUCUGGGGCUUGGUAUUGUAUCGGCCAAAUAGGUGAUGGGAUGGUCACAUUUGUCAGCCCUCUGGGCAACAGAGACACAACUUACUUUCAAUUCCCACGAGGGAUAGACAGGCCAUUUGCUCAGAGCAUCAGAGCUAAGAAGGGGCAUUAUUGGAUCUGCGGACACAGCAUAUAAAUUUUUACCCGUGGGGUGGUCGGGAAUUUGUUAUUUAGGGAUCAUCAGACCUUUGUUUUUCCUUUUACCAGAAAUACGUUAACUUUAUGAAAAUAAAGUUAAAAGGUUGUACGAUA